CCGGACCGGCGCACGGGUGAGUAACACGUAUGCAACCUGCCCUCUUCAGGGGGACAACCUUCCGAAAGGGAGGCUAAUCCCGCGUAUAUCGGUUUCGGGCAUCCGAGAUCGAGGAAAGAUUCAUCGGAAGAGGAUGGGCAUGCGGCGCAUUAGCUAGACGGCGGGGUAACGGCCCACCGUGGCGACGAUGCGUAGGGGUUCUGAGAGGAAGGUCCCCCACACUGGUACUGAGACACGGCCCAGACUCCUACGGAAGGCAGCAG
rnacentral:rRNA from 1 species